GUAGGGUGCAAGCGUUAAUCGGAAUUACUGGGCGUAAAGCGUACGCAGGCGGCUUUGCAAGACAGGUGUGAAAUCCCCGGGCCUAACCUGGGAACUGCAUUUGUGACUGCAUGGCUAGAGUUUGUCAGAGGGGGGUGGAAUUCCACGUGUAGCAGUGAAAUGCGUAGAUAUGUGGAGGAACACCGAUGGCGAAGGCAGCCCCCUGGGAUGUGACUGACGCUCAUGUACGAAAGCGUGGGGAGCAAACAGGAUUAGAUACCCUGGUAGUCCACGCCCUAAACGAUGUCGACUAGUUGUCGGAGGGUAACUCCUUCGGUAACGCAGCUAACGCGUGAAGUCGACCGCCUGGGGAGUACGGUCGCAAGAUUA
rnacentral:rRNA from 2 species